AUCCAACCUGCCCAUCACUUGGGGAUAACCUUGCGAAAGUAAGACUAAUACCCAAUGACGUCUCUAGAAGACAUCUGAAAGGGAUUAAAGAUUUAUCGGUGAUGGAUGGGGAUGCGUCUGAUUAGCUUGUUGGCGGGGUAACGGCCCACCAAGGCGACGAUCAGUAGGGGUUCUGAGAGGAAGGUCCCCCACAUUGGAACUGAGACACGGUCCAAACUCCUACGGGAGGCAGCAGUGAGGGAUAUUGGUCAAUGGACGAGAGUCUGAACCAGCCAAGUAGCGUGCAGGAUGACGGCCCUAUGGGUUGUAAACUGCUUUUAUAAGGGAAUAAAGUGAGUCUCGUGAGACUUUUUGCAUGUACCUUAUGAAUAAGGACCGGCUAAUUCCGUGCCAGCAGCCGCGGUAAUACGGAAGGUCCGGGCGUUAUCCGGAUUUAUUGGGUUUAAAGGGAGCGUAGGCCGGAGAUUAAGCGUGUUGUGAAAUGUAGACGCUCAACGUCUGCACUGCAGCGCGAACUGGUUUCCUUGAGUACGCACAAAGUGGGCGGAAUUCGUGGUGUAGCGGUGAAAUGCUUAGAUAUCACGAAGAACUCCGAUUGCGAAGGCAGCUCACUGGAGCGCAACUGACGCUGAAGCUCGAAAGUGCGGGUAUCGAACAGGAUUAGAUACCCUGGUAGUCCGCACGGUAAACGAUGGAUGCCCGCUGUUGGCCUGAACAGGUCAGCGGCCAAGCGAAAGCAUUAAGCAUCCCACCUGGGGAGUAC
rnacentral:rRNA from 1 species